rnacentral:lncRNA from 1 species
AGCUACAAAGUCCAAAGAAGAAAUUCCAUUUGAGCUUUUGGGAUCCUUCAAAUAAUCCACACGAACUUCAAUUGCAUCACAGCCAACUGUCACAUCUCUUAAAGUUGGCAAAGCAUCCUCAAUACGAGGAUAAUUUAGAGUCAAAAAUGUAGAGCGUUUUUUGGUUUUAAAUUUUUGAAGGACUUGCGAGGAUCCAGUAACGACAUCUAAGAAACGAGACAUCGAAUACUGAAUUUUUUCGUCAAUUACCUGGUUACUUAAAACAGGGCUAAUAAAAUAAUGAGAUCUACAUUCGCGAUACCAUACAUGACGGCGCUUAUAAACAUCGUCAAUGCUUUCUUGAUCUUUAUAAGUGGGUCUAGUCUGGUCCUCUGAAAGGUAAGACUUGAUAUGCUCCAAAUUUCUGUGGACAUGUAGCACUAUUCCACCCUCCUUAACAAAAUUACUAAGCAGAUUCCGCGAUUCGUCCAUUUCAAUAACCCCUCCACCGCUAGCAGCAACAUAACCUUCAGGAUGUUCAGUAAUAAACUUUCGCAAUACUUUGUGUUCUUCAAGACGGAAAGCAUCCCAUCCCAUCCUGAAAAUAACUUCAGCAAUGGGCAUCUCAAGAUAGUCUUCUAGUAAUUCAUCCAAAUCAAGGAACUUAAAGUUUAGUUGCUUCGCUAUAAUUUUACCAAUGGUAGUUUUACCUGCACCUCGCAUACCAAUUAAAAUUAUAGAAGCAUUUUUUGAAAUACUUCCCUUUAAUGGAUCGGAAGCAACAGAGGUUGCACCAGUAAGCUUAACACCGAAAGACUGAUGAAGUACAUCCCACCAAUAUGGCCAGGUCUUCUCGACACAAGCUUUAUCAAUAAUCAAUGUGCGAGAGGGACAAAUUAAUGACAAAACGCUAAAUGACAUAGCAAUUCUAUGGUCAUCAUAAGUAUAAAUUCCUUCUUCGGGUUUUUUAAGUUCUUUAUAAUUUUUGCCGAAAAUGUAAAUGCCGUCUUCCAAUUCGCCGGUACGAACACCAAAUUUUGCAAGUUCGUGAACCAUUGCGGCAAUCCGGUUACAUUCUUUAACUCUUUGGUUUGCAAUGCCAGUGAUUCGUGUAACUGGAUCUCCUUCAGAAACGUUACAAGCAACCGCGGCAACAACAGAAGCGGUUAAAAAUGCAUCAGUCAUGGUUUCCAUAUCUAUAGACUCUAAUGGUUUUAGAGUUCCUUUUGGAGGACCCUGAACAGUAGUACUAGUAGCAGUUUGCUCGACAGUACAGCCCAUUGGCCUUAACACAUCACACGCAAAACGGGCAUCACCUUGUAGGGAAGCACUGCCAAUAUUAGGAACAGUACACUUGGUACCGGUAAUGGCCGCAAUAGCAAGAGGAUAAGUGGCUGAACUUGCAUCGCUUUCAAUUUCGUAAUGCGGAGGGUUUUGAUACUUUCCGCAAGGUAUAUUAUAAGUGUUUUCUUCCGUAGUAGAUUUCGUAACAUUGACACCAAAUGAAGCCAUCAUAGCAAUGGUCAUGUCAAUAUACAAUUGAGAAAUGGGCUUGCCGCCUACUAAUUUUAGUGUAACAGGUUGUGAAGCAUAAGGAGCACACAUCAAGAUAGAAGAUACGUACUGCGAGGAAACAGUGGCAGCUAGUUCUAUAAUACCAC